rnacentral:rRNA from 1 species
CAAUAGCGUAUAUUAAAGUUGUUGCAGUUAAAAAGCUCGUAGUUGGAUUUCUGGUAGGAGUGACCGUUCCGAACUUGAUUGUUCGUGUAUUGUGUUUUCUCCAGCCAUCCCUGUGGAGAACUUUUCUUGCAUUAAUUUGUAGGGAUUGGGACCCGCAUCGUUUACUGUGAAAAAAUUAGAGUGUUUAAAGCAGGCAAUCGCUUGAAUACAUUAGCAUGGAAUAAUAAGAUAGGACUUUGGUACUAUUUUGUUGGUUUGCAUACCAAAUUAAUGAUCAACAGGAACAGUUUGAGGAUAUUCGUAUGAACAUGUCAGAGGUGAAAUUCUUGGAUUUUGAUCAGACGAACUACUGCGAAAGCGUUUAUCAAGGAUGUUUUCAUUAA